rnacentral:rRNA from 1 species
AGUGGCGAAAGGGCGAGGAAUACAUGGAUAACGUGCCUUUGGCAUGGGGACAGCUGAGGGAAACUUCAGGUAAUACCCAAUGAGACCACAGUGCUUUCGGGCACAGGGGUCAAAGAUGGGGCUCCUUCGGGACCUAUCGGCCAUAGAGCGGUCCAUGUCCUAUCAGCUUGUUGGUGAGGUAAUGGCUCACCAAGGCGACGACGGGUACCGGGACUGAGAGGUUGACCCGGCGCAUCGGGACUGAGACACUGCCCGGACUCCUACGGGAGGCUGCAGUAACGAAUAUUGGUCAAUGGGCGAAAGCCUGAACCAGCGACGCCGCGUGUGGGAGGAAGCCCUUCGGGGUGUAAACCACUGUCAGGGAUUACCAAGCAAUGGAGGCUAAUACCCUCCUGCGUUGAGGCGUCCCAGAGGAAGUCACGGCUAACUUCGUGCCAGCAGCCGCGGUAAUACGAAGGUGGCGAGCGUUGUUCGGAAUCACUGGGCUUAAAGAGCACGUAGGCGGACUGCCAAGCGUCUUGUGAAAUCCCCCGGCUCAACCGGGGAAUUGCUGGGCGAACUGGUAGUCUUGAGGCAAGUAGGGGCAGAUGGAACUCUUGGUGGAGCGGUGGAAUGCGUAGAUAUCAAGAGGAACGCCAGAGGCGAAGGCGAUCUGCUGGGCUUGACCUGACGCUGAGGUGCGAAAGCCAGGGGAGCAAACGGGAUUAGAUACCCCGGUAGUCCUGGCCAUAAACGAUGUCCACUAGAUCGGUGAACUUCUGACAGUGUGCCGGUCGAAACAAAAGCGUUAAGUGGACCGCCUGGGGAGUACGGUCGCAAGGCUAAAACUCAAAGGAAUUGACGGGGGCUCACACAAGCGGUGGAGCAUGUUGCUUAAUUCGAUGCAACGCGAAGAACCUUAUCCUGGGCUUGACAUGCUUGGAUGCCCAUCUGGAAACAGAGUAGGCUGCCCUUCGGGGUGAAACUUGCACAGGUGCUGCAUGGCUGUCGUCAGCUCGUGUCGUGAGAUGUUGGGUUAAGUCCCGUAACG